GACGAACGCUGGCGGCGUGCUUAACACAUGCAAGUCGAACGGUGACGAGGAGCUUGCUCCUCCGAUCAGUGGCGAACGGGUGAGUAACACGUGAGUAACCUGCCUCGGACUCUGGGAUAACAGUUGGAAACAGCUGCUAAUACCGGAUACGAGACGGAGAGGCAUCUCUACCGUCUGGAAAGUUCUUCGGUCCGGGAUGGACUCGCGGCCUAUCAGCUAGUUGGUGAGGUAACGGCUCACCAAGGCGACGACGGGUAGCCGGCCUGAGAGGGCGACCGGCCACACUGGGACUGAGACACGGCCCAGACUCCUACGGGAGGCAGCAGUGGGGAAUAAUUGGGCACAAUGGGCGAAAGGACCUGAUGCAGCGACGCCG
rnacentral:rRNA from 1 species